rnacentral:rRNA from 1 species
CCUACGGGAGUCAGCAGUGAGGAAUAUUGGUCAAUGGACGAGAGUCUGAACCAGCCAAGUAGCGUGAAGGAUGACUGCCCUAUGGGUUGUAAACUUCUUUUAUAUGGGAAUAAAACAUUGUAUGCAUACCCUCUUGUAUGUACCAUAUGAAUAAGGAUCGGCUAACUCCGUGCCAGCAGCCGCGGUAAUACGGAGGAUCCGAGCGUUAUCCGGAUUUAUUGGGUUUAAAGGGAGCGUAGGUGGAUUGUUAAGUCAGUUGUGAAAGUUUGCGGCUCAACCGUAAAAUUGCAGUUGAAACUGGCAGUCGUGAGUACAGUAGAGGUGGGCGGAAGUCGUGGUGUAGCGGUGAAAUGCUUAGAUAUCACGAAGAACUCCGAUUGCGAAGGCAGCUCACUGGACUGCAACUGACACUGAUGCUCGAAAGUGUGGGUAUCAAACAGGAUUAGAUACCCUUGUAGUC